rnacentral:rRNA from 1 species
UACGUAGGGGGCAAGCGUUGUCCGGAAUCAUUGGGCGUAAAGAGCGUGUAGGCGGUUCGGUAAGUCGGCUGUGAAAGUCCAGGGCUCAACCCUGGGAUGCCGGUCGAUACUGCCGGACUAGAGUUCGGAAGAGGCGAGUGGAAUUCCCGGUGUAGCGGUGAAAUGCGCAGAUAUCGGGAGGAACACCUAUGGCGAAGGCAGCUCGCUGGGACGUUACUGACGCUGAGACGCGAAAGCGUGGGGAGUAAACAGG